AAUAAAUACAGUUUUGCACUAUUCACGUUCAACGUUUGAUCAUUCGUCUUAUUUGAAAUUUUUUUAUGAUUAAUAUUUUUAUUGCUAUUAGAUGAUAACUUUAUAUGUGUGACUAAAUAUUUUUAAAUUUUUCACAAAUUUUUCAAAUAAUACGGACGGUCAAACGUUGGGCACGGAUAUUCACGGCUGUACUUAUU
rfam:Oryza glaberrima chromosome 2 Oglab02_0356_4, whole genome shotgun sequence.